rnacentral:rRNA from 1 species
UACGAAGGGGGCUAGCGUUGCUCGGAAUGACUGGGCGUAAAGGGCGCGUAGGCGGCUUGCACCGUCAGAUGUGAAAUUCCUGGGCUUAACCUGGGGGCUGCAUUUGAUACGUGUGGGCUUGAGCGCGGAAGAGGGUCGUGGAAUUCCCAGUGUAGAGGUGAAAUUCGUAGAUAUUGGGAAGAACACCGGUGGCGAAGGCGGCGACCUGGUCCGUGACUGACGCUGAGGCGCGAAAGCGUGGGGAGCAAACAGG